CUGACAGAGAAUGGGGUAGGAGUGUGAGGACAAUGGGGACCAGGGAGAAGAGAACAUGGUUAUGAAUCAGUUCAUUUAGGAGGACAAGUGUCCUUUCCCACCCUGGAGGAGGAGCAUAUGAAGAUAAUCAACAGUGAUGGAGGCCAAAAGUGAGACUGUGGCAGGAGGGAAUCACUGCCAACUGCUUACUUCCUGUUAGUCAGUCUUGUUCUUUUGAAGAGUGGGAAGCGGGACUACCAAGACUCCUCCUCCCCGGCUUCUGGGCCGUCCUGGCAGCUGCCCAAGGAGGGUCCGCAGCGACUUCUCCUGCUCCGACGGUGCAUGCGGAUGAGGUUGAGGAUGACACUGAAGUUGCAGGCGAGCACCGCGACGAUGAGGAGCAGCAGCACGGUGGCGUAGAGCUGCAGGAAGAUAAACUAAGAGGGCGGGACCCAAAUUAGGAGGAAGUGAAAAGCUCGCCUGGUUGUCCAAGGAACCAAACCUUGCCACCGCUGAGCUGUCUGUUGCCCUGC